rnacentral:rRNA from 1 species
AAGGGCACCACAAGAACGCGUGGAGCAUGUGGCUUAAUUUGACUCAACGCGGGAAAUCUUACCGGGUCCGGACACACUGAGGAUUGACAGGCGUUUGUGGUUUGCUUUCUGCUCUCGUUAGUAGGAAGCUUUCCACUAUAAAUAUGCUAGUCCUUUCAUGAUUGUGUGAUAGGUGGUGCAUGGCCGUUCUUAGUUCGUGGAGUGAUCUGUCUGCUUAAUUGCGUUUCACAAAGAACUCUUUAACUUUUGCCUGUUGCGCGGCAUUCGCUGCUCUUUAAUGAGCCGGUGUCAGUGCACGGUGAAGAAAAAGUUCUGAAGGCAACGAACGUGACCGCAACCUCUUGUUGCCUCCUUCUCCAUUGUUGAGACAUGGUUCUUGUUUGAUGCUUCCCCGCACUUUAUUGUGUGUUGGCUCAGCUUGACCUGCAUGGAGUGCGAACUAGAGGGACCGCUGAUAACCUUUAAAACAGAGGAAGGUUGCGGCAAUAACAGGUCUGUGAUGCCCUUAGAUGUUCCGGGCUGCACACGUGCUACAAUGAUUAUUGCAGUGAGCAUCUAACUUUAAAACGGUUCGAGCUUGUGUUUGCGUGUCUGGGUUCGCUCAGUUCGCUUACAUGGUUUGACCUAUCGACCUGCUUCGAAAGUAAGCAGGUAAUCAAUUCGAAGUAAUGAUUUCCUUUCGCACAUACUUAUAUCUCUUGCUUGCGGGCUAGCCUGUCCUUGUGGCAUGGUUUUGUUUUCGCCUUGAGAUAUGUGCUCCAUUAAUUCAUGGUGGGGACAGACCAUUGUUAAUUGUUGGUCUCGGUCUCAACUAGGAAUGCCUUGUACGGGUCUUUGGUUCAACAAACCACCCGGAAUAUGUCCCUGCCCUUUGUACACACCGCCCGUCGCUCUUACCGAUGGACUUCUCUAUGAGUUUGGAGGACUGGACGUCUACUUGCUAGUUAGAUAUCUAUGGAAAUCUAAACGAAUAGUGUGGUCUAAAGGAAAGAGAAGUCGAACAAGGCA